GCCCAUGUAUAAAAUAUGCUAUCACCUCCGUCGUCUAGUCGCCGAGACUCUUACGUCGGAAGUGUGACCGGGACUAACGUGACGAGCGCGAUGGGAGAAGACGGAGCGCGUGGUUGGAUUCGUGGUGACGAGACAGCGAAGCAGAUGUUAUCAAGGGUUCUCAAAGACCGUGCAUUCCUGCUUCUCCCGCCACUUCACCGUGUGCCAUUACGCGCCGGGAACGUAGUCGAGGUCACCGGCGCAUCUCCGUCUGCGAAAACUCAGAUCCUGAUUCAAGCUGCGAUCACUUGUAUUCUUCCAAAGACGAGGAACGGGAUUCACUAUGGAGGAUUAGGGAAACUUGUUUUGUUCCUCGAUUUGGAUUGCCGUUUUGAUGUACUCCGUUUAUCUCAGAUGCUCAAGCACCGUCUUCUUCAAGCUAACCGAUUAGGCAAUGGGGCAUGGUGGCAACUUGAAGAGUCAAACGUUAGAAAUUGCAGAUCUGCACAUGAGAAGUCAAACACUGCGUUUGAUGAGGAGUUAUAUGUUUCAUGCAUGAAAAGGUUUCUGUAUGUUCGCUGCUAUGAUAGUCUUGAACUUUUGUCCUGUCUCAAGACAUUGGAUUAUCGGAUCCGACAACAGGAAUCGUGUGGUAGUCAAGUCGGAGUGCUUAUGAUUGACAGAUUUGUCUUACAAUCUGCUGGUUUCUUAUUCGAUGCAUACUAGGGUUUUAUACACGCUAGUGAUGCUGCUAUCUAGCAAGCGGACAGGAAGAAUUGGGCUAACUAUUUUGCAAUCUUUUCACCAGCAUUGGUGCUUCCACUGGACUGAUCGUCUGUCGUCAUUGUUGGCAUUGGAGACACAGAACAGGAAAAGUCUCUCUCUUACGAAUGUGGUGGAGACGAUAGUGCAAGAGAUGAAGAAGCUACUGCAGGUGCAUUCACUUGUAGUGAUUGCCACUAAAGCUACAAUUUACGAAGAGAAGUACCCAACAAAUGAGAAUAAUCGUAAGUUCUCCUCAAACGAUGAGUUUUCAGGGAAUGCUGCAAGUAAAGCUCAGCAACCUCCAUUUCGUGAAUUCAUGCCUUCUUCUUGGCAGGCAUUUGUGACACAUAAGUUAAUCAUACGAAAAUCAGCUGAUCAUCAGUCUUUGCAAACAGGACAAGAAAGUUUGUCGGCAUAUUCACUUGAAUGGUUACAACCACAACUUAGCAGCAUAGACAAAUUCAUAGUAGACGGUUCUGGUAUUGUCAUUGUCUCGUGACUUAGAAUUCUUCUAUUCAGUCUGUAGAAACCAUAAACCAUUGUGAGUUCAAAGUAGCUAAUAGCUGAGCGGUAUGCAGCAAGUCGCCAAAUGUAAAGUUAUAUUUUUUAUAUCAGAAAGAAGAAAAAUAAGGACAGCAAAAGUUGAAUCUUUAAAGGUAAAAUUUGUCUUUCUAUUUUUA